rnacentral:rRNA from 1 species
ACAUGCAAGUCGAGCGGCAGCGGGAAGAUAGCUUGCUAUCUUUGCCGGCGAGCGGCGGACGGGUGAGUAAUGCCUAGGGAUCUGCCCAGUCGAGGGGGAUAACAGUUGGAAACGACUGCUAAUACCGCAUACGCCCUACGGGGGAAAGGAGGGGACCUUCGGGCCUUCCGCGAUUGGAUGAACCUAGGUGGGAUUAGCUAGUUGGUGAGGUAAUGGCUCACCAAGGCGACGAUCCCUAGCUGUUCUGAGAGGAUGAUCAGCCACACUGGGACUGAGACACGGCCCAGACUCCUACGGGAGGCAGCAGUGGGGAAUAUUGCACAAUGGGGGAAACCCUGAUGCAGCCAUGCCGCGUGUGUGAAGAAGGCCUUCGGGUUGUAAAGCACUUUCAGUAGGGAGGAAAGGUAGCAGUUUAAUACGCUGUUGCUGUGACGUUACCUACAGAAGAAGGACCGGCUAACUCCGUGCCAGCAGCCGCGGUAAUACGGAGGGUCCGAGCGUUAAUCGGAAUUACUGGGCGUAAAGCGUGCGCAGGCGGUUUGUUAAGCGAGAUGUGAAAGCCCCGGGCUCAACCUGGGAAUUGCAUUUCGAACUGGCGAACUAGAGUCUUGUAGAGGGGGGUAGAAUUCCAGGUGUAGCGGUGAAAUGCGUAGAGAUCUGGAGGAAUACCGGUGGCGAAGGCGGCCCCCUGGACAAAGACUGACGCUCAGGCAC